AUUGAACGCUGGCGGCAGGCCUAACACAUGCAAGUCGAGCGAGCGGCGGACGGGUGAGUUAUGUAUGGGGAUCUGCCCGAUAGAGGGGGAUAACUACUGGAAACGGUGGCUAAUCCCGUAUACUAUCGGAUUACCCCAGAUGGGAUUCGCUAGUAGGUGGGGGAAAGGCUCACAUAGGCCACGAUCUCUCGGUGGUCUGAGAGGAUGAUCAGCCACCAUGGAACUGAGACACGGCCCAGAUUCCUACGGGAGGAAGCAGUGGGGAUUAUUGCACAAGGGGCGCAAGCCUGAUGCAGCCAUGCCGCGUGUAUGAAGAAGGCCUUAGGGUUGUAAAGGACUUUCAGUGGGGAGGCGUUACCCGCAGAAGAAGCACCGGCUAACUCCGGGCCAGCAGCCGCGGUAAUUC
rnacentral:rRNA from 1 species